UACGUAGGGUGCGAGCGUUGUCCGGAAUUACUGGGCGUAAAGAGCUCGUAGGUGGUUUGUCGCGUUGUUCGUGAAAACUCACAGCUUAACUGUGGGCGUGCGGGCGAUACGGGCAGACUGGAGUACUGCAGGGGAGACUGGAAUUCCUGGUGUAGCGGUGGAAUGCGCAGAUAUCAGGAGGAACACCGGUGGCGAAGGCGGCGCUCUGGACCGAGACUGACGCUGAGGCGCGAAAGCGUGGGGAGCAAACAGG
rnacentral:rRNA from 1 species